UACGUAGGGGGCAAGCGUUGUCCGGAUUUAUUGGGCGUAAAGAGCGUGUAGGCGGCCAGGUAGGUCCGUUGUGAAAACUGGAGGCUUAACCUCCAGCUGUCGAUGGAAACCAUCUGGCUAGAGUCCGGAAGAGGAGAGUGGAAUUCCUGGUGUAGCGGUGGAAUGCGCAGAUAUCAGGAAGAACACCCGUGGCGAAGGCGGCUCUCUGGGACGGUACUGACGCUGAGACGCGAAAGCGUGGGGAGCGAACAGG
rnacentral:rRNA from 1 species